UGCACAAUUACGCGCAUUGGUGGAGUCUAGUGACUCAGAUGAGAAUCCAGGUCCCUCAGAUGAGAAUCCAGGCCCCUCUUUUGCUGAUAGCCUAAAAGACAUACAGACACAGGAGCAGUCUGAUACAGGAGAAGACGAGUAUUGAGAUGAUCACCACCCGCCGGACAGUGAUGGUGAAAGUGAUUCAGAAAUUGGAACUUUGUCCGAGGAGGAAUCAAGUGAUCUAAGAAGUGAUUUGGCAAAAUGGGCUGUAAAAAAUAAGGCAACGCGCACAUCGGUUGAUGAGCUACUCUUGGUGUUACGUAAACAUGGCCACCGGCUGCCAAAAGAUGCCAGAACCCUGUUAUUAACUCCACCUCAAAUAGAAGUCAGGGAUCUAUGUGGUGGCCAGUUCCUCUACUUUGGUGUGGAGACGGGACUUUUGAAAAUGUGCUCACAGUAUCCCGAUUUCUUUUCAACAGAAAAUGAGAUGCUGCUAAAUUUCAGUGUAGAUGGUGUGCCAUUAUUUAAAUCAUCCAACUUGCACGUUGAUAAAUACUAAUUUAUAUACUUGAAACAUUGGCAAUGCCACAAAAGACGCUGUCUUGAGCUCAUUUGCUACAACAAAUACAGAAGUAGACCAAUACAUGGCCAAAUACCUUAAUUAUGCACCAGAGAGGAUGGGUGGCGGUGGCAGAAAGUAACGAGGGAAGAUUUAAAGCGAUGAACUAUCCCUUUAACCAGCCGUACAUGUUGCCUAAUGUUUGGGCCGUUUUUCUAAAGUUUAUAGUACGACGUGUAAAAUUGUUCUGUGAAAUGUUGGCACACUUGCAGCCAUGUAAUAAAGCACUUUUCUUACGCCA